GGAAGUAAAAAUUGUAACAAGGUUUCCGUAGGUGAACCUGCGGAAGGAUCAUUAUCGUACAAAAUGUGAGGGGCAUGCGAGGGCUGUCGCUGACCCAAAAGUCGUGCACGCCCGAGUGUGUCCUCUUGCAUAAUAAUCCAUCUCACCCUUUGUGCAUCACCGCGUGGGCACCCUUCGGGAUCAUCUCGGAGGGGGGCUCGCGUUUUCACACAAACCCCCCUUUUAAAAGUGUAGAAUGACCACAUUUAUGCAAUCAAUACAACUUUCAACAACGGAUCUCUUGGCUCUC
rnacentral:misc_RNA from 1 species